rnacentral:lncRNA from 1 species
ACCUCAAAGAAUUCAAAUAUGCUACUUAGUAUACACACUAAUGUUUGCUCACCCUUUGAGCAUAAGCUCAAAUUUUAUUGUGGCUUAUCUUCUCCAAAAAAUGGGUCGAAAUUUUUGUAGAAUAGACAAAUCAAGAAUGAUGACUUCUUAAGAUGCAGUAUUCAAGUUCAGAAAUCUAUACUCAGAUGACCUUAUGUAGGUCAUCUGCUUCUGAGGUUUAUCUCACCAGUGGUUUUCUUCUGAUUGCCAAGUGUUCUUUUUACCCCCAACAGGCAUCCUGACUCAAGCUGUAUACAUUUGCAAUAUCUGAUUUUUAACCACACACUCUUCAUCCUAUUGACCCAGAGUGAAAAUUGAUACUCUUAGCUGAAGGACUGUUCCCUUGAGUAUAUUUAAACCAGACCAAUCUCUGUGUUUAAUCUGGGUUCAUCAGGAACCAUUAGCCUUGAUUGGUUUGUUUUUCUCCCCCUCCAUCUCAGGACUUGAUUCUAUUGAGUUAACAACUAUUCUCCCCAGAGAACAGCUACCGCAAGCCUGUUUCAAGUAAUUCCAAUAUCUGGCUCUUAGAAAUUGAACUGAUCUUUUUUUUCUUUAGUUUUAUGUGAAGAACUGCAGUAAUGAAUUCUGAAUUUGUUCAAAUCAUUGAAGAUGUGUGAAGACAAAACAUUCACUCAAAUCUCUAUCAUGUUAGCAUGUUAUUUAUCAUUGCUCUGUUCUUC